UACAGAGGGUGCGAGCGUUGUCCGGAAUCACUGGGCGCAAAGGGCGCGUAGGUGGUGGCUUAAGCGUGCGGUGAAAGCUCGGGGCUCAACUCCGAGUCGGCCGUGCGAACUGGGCUCACUGGAGCAUAGUAGAGGCAGGUGGAAUUCCGGGUGUAGCGGUGGAAUGCGUAGAGAUCCGGAAGAACACCGGUGGCGAAGGCGGCCUGCUGGGCUAUGGCUGACACUGAGGCGCGACAGCGUGGGGAGCAAACAGG
rnacentral:rRNA from 1 species